CCUACGGGAGGCAGCAGUGAGGAAUAUUGGUCAAUGGACGAGAGUCUGAACCAGCCAAGUAGCGUGAAGGAUGACUGCCCUAUGGGUUGUAAACUUCUUUUAUAUGGGAAUAAAACGUGGUAUGCAUAGCCUCUUGUAUGUACCAUAUGAAUAAGGAUCGGCUAACUCCGUGCCAGCAGCCGCGGUAAUACGGAGGAUCCGAGCGUUAUCCGGAUUUAUUGGGUUUAAAGGGAGCGUAGGUGGAAUGUCAAGUCAGUUGUGAAAGUUUGCGGCUCAACCGUGGAAUUGCAUUGGAAACUGGCAGGCUGGAGUGCAGUAGAGGUAGGCGGAAUUCGUGGUGUAGCGGUGAAAUGCGUAGAUAUCAGGAAGAACACCGGUGGCGAAGGCAGCCUACUGGACUGUAACUGACACUGAGGCUCGAAAGUGUGGGUAUCAAACAGGAUUAGAUACCCUUGUAGUC
rnacentral:rRNA from 1 species